AUAGUUUGCUGCACUGAAAGUAAAGGGUCCGAAUAAUAUUGCACGCCCUACUUUUCAGCUUUUUAUUUGUUAAAAAACUAUAAAAUAUCCAAUACAUUUCAUUCCACUUCAUGAUUGUGUCCUUCUCGUUGUUCAUUCUUGGCAAAAAAAAAAAAAAAAAAGUAGUAAUCCAGCAAUGAUGGAAAGGGUUUUUUUUUCGACAAUUGUGCAAAGGAUUCAGAGUCAUCUAUCAUUUAAAGCUAUUAGUGUCUAAUAGAGAAGUUCUCCAAUGCAAUGACCUCAAGACAAGGACUGUCAAGACCUCAAGGAAUAUAUUCAGUUUAAAGAGACUCAUCGCCCAAUAAUCUGGGACAAUGUCGAUUGUGGAAGUCUUGCUGAUAUUCCUCCAUCGAUUGGGCAAAUGGAGCAUAUGCUACUCAACUGCGAGAGCCUGGUAUUGUUCAACAACAGAUGUGCAGAUGGUGCAGCGUGGUGAGACUACUACAGUUGGACUCGGUGACUCAGCCCAAAUGCCUGUCAGUAAAUCUGUAAAAAUCACGAAAACAGCACAGGCAUAAGCAGACAGAUGACGUGUGUAUGUCUGUGUCCUGUGGACAAGAAGUGGGUGGGUUUGAUGUAUUUUUGAUUCAUUUUUGUUAAUGUAAAGCGC